UGUGAUGUGACGUAGUGGUAC
rnacentral:miRNA from 3 species